rnacentral:rRNA from 1 species
AGCAGCCGCGGUAAUUCCAGCUCCAAUAGCGUAUAUUAAAGUUGUUGCAGUUAAAAAGCUCGUAGUUGAAUUUCGGGAUCAAUAUUUCGGUCAUGCCGUUGGUAUGCACUGUUAUCAUUGAUUUCUCACCUUCUAAAGAACCGUAAUGCCAUUAAUUUGGUGUUACGGGGAAUUAGGACUGUUACCUUGAAAAAUUUAGAGUGUUUAAAGCAGGCUCACGCUUGAAUACAUUAGCAUGGAAUAAUGAAAUAGGACAUCCGAUUCUAUUUUGUUGGUUUCUAGGAUCGAUGUAAUGAUUAAUAGGGAUAGUUGGGGGCAUUAGUAUUCAAUUGUCAGAGGUGAAAUUCUUGGAUUUAUUGAAGACUAACUACUGCGAAAGCAUUUGCCAAGGAUGUUUUCAUUAAUCAAGAACGAAAGUUAGGGGAUCGAAGACGAUCAGAUACCGUCGUA